rnacentral:lncRNA from 13 species
UUCUGUUAGGUAUGCGUAACUGGCUGUAAGGGAGUCGGGCGCAGGAGAGCAGAAGUUGGGUAGCCAAAGGAGCCUUUUAUUUAGGCGAACAAAACCCACGGCACUAAGAACCCUUAACACAAUAUGGGUUUGACAUAACCCAGCGCAAACCAGUCUAGCGUGCACAUACACAAAACAACAAACAAUUCCUCACACAGACAUGGGGGGAACAGAGGGUUAUAUACACGUCUAAUACUGAGGGAAUUGAAACCAGGUGUGUAGGAAAACAAGACAAGACAAAUGGACAAAAAAAAAGACGUGGAAAAAUGAAAGGUGUGGCGAGUGGCGACGGCUAGAAAACCGGUGAUGUCGACCGCCGAACGUCGCCCAAACAAGAGAGGAUCUGACUUCGGCGGAAGUCGUGACACCCUGGUCAUAGACUGCUCUCUCUGCUUCCGCAUGGCACACCUCACCCCCCAUAUUGAUCAUAUUAAAUCAGGUCACACCUCACCCCCCAUAUUGGUCAGGUCACAUCUCACCCCCCAUAUUGAUCAGGUCACAUCUCACCCCCAUAUUGAUCAGGUCACAUCUCACCCCCAUAUUGGUCAGGUCACACCUCACCACCCAUAUUAAUCAGGUCACACCUCACCACCCAUAUUAAUCAGGUCACACCUCACCACCCAUAUUGAUCAGGUCACACCACACAACCCAUAUUAAUCAGGUCACACCCCUCACCCAUAUUAAUCAGGUCACACCUCCCCACCCAUAUUUAUCAGGUCACAACGCUCCACCCAUAUUGAUCAGGUCACACCUCACCACCCAUACUGGUCUGGUCACACCUCAUAACCCAUAUUGAUCAGGUCACACCUCACCCCCAUAUUCAUCAGGUCACAGCUCAUAACCAAUAUUGAUCAGGUCACAACGCUCCACCCAUACUGAUCAGGUCACAAAGCUCCACCCAUAUUGAUCAGGUCACAUCGCUCCACCCAUAUUGAUCAGGUCACAACGCUCCACCCAUAUUGAUCAGGUCACAANNNNNNNNNNGGUCACACCUCACCACCCAUAUUAAUCAGGUCACACCUCACCACCCAUAUUAAUCAGGUCACACCUCACCACCCAUAUUGAUCAGGUCACACCACACAACCCAUAUUAAUCAGGUCACACCCCUCACCCAUAUUAAUCAGGUCACACCUCCCCACCCAUAUUUAUCAGGUCACAACGCUCCACCCAUAUUGAUCAGGUCACACCUCACCACCCAUACUGGUCUGGUCACACCUCAUAACCCAUAUUGAUCAGGUCACACCUCACCCCCAUAUUCAUCAGGUCACAGCUCAUAACCAAUAUUGAUCAGGUCACAACGCUCCACCCAUACUGAUCAGGUCACAAAGCUCCACCCAUAUUGAUCAGGUCACAUCGCUCCACCCAUAUUGAUCAGGUCACAACGCU